CUGUUCGUAGGUCUCACCAUCAAAAAUGGUGCAUUGGACAUACCAAGUCAAGAAACGAUAAGUUUCAACAGUCAUUGGCCGAAUGUUCGUCAGCCUCUCAAACCUCUUGGUUUGGUCUCAGGUGUGAGCAGCAAGAUUUCUGGUGAGAUAUCUGGUAUCACAACCCAUGCAAUUUUUAGAAUGACCUAUUUUAUUUUUGAUGUCUUAAUCAUCAGCUUAUUUGUUUUUAACAAAAAGCAUUUUUUCUUUCCGUUUAGCUCCUGCAAGAUUUGCUGUGAUCUAUGCAGAGCAAUGUUACUUCCUGUUCCUAACACUGUCGUUCUUGCACACCACAUGGGCAUAGAGCAAUCCAAAGUAUUCAUCCACAAUGUGCAGUGUCAGGAUGCUCUACUUUGCUACUGCACAAUGUGUUUAGUUAUAGGGUCCCACUAGUGCAGUUCAAAUUUAUUCAAAGAGCUUUCAAAGUACAGAUGUUUCGGGACCCCUGUCCCUUUAUCAAUGAUAAAAGCCCUUGAUAAAGGGACAGGGGUCCCAAAACAUCUGUACUUUGAAUUCUCUUUGAUUAAAUUUGGGCUGCACUAGUGGGCCCCUAUAACUAAGCUGCCCUUUGUGGAAGAAUACUUUGGAUUGCUAUGUUUUGCUUGCUGUUGGGGCUACAGCAGCUUAUACACAAUAACUGCACAAGGUUUAACUAUUUUGCCUUAUUGUGCUAUACCACAGUCUUAGAUCAUAUUUUUGGUCUACUAGAGCAGUGUUUCCCAACCCAGUCCUCAAGGCACACCUACCAGUCCAGGAUUUAGGGAUUACCCAGUUGUGUCUAAGGUGUUUUUUUUUUCUUCUUUGUAAAAACACCUUAGACACAACUGGGUAAUCCCUAAAUCCUGGACUGGUAGGUGUGCCUUGAGGACUGGGUUGGGAAACACUGUACUAGAGCAUGACUGUCUGGGCCUGGUUAAAAAUGUAUUCCAAGUGCGUUUGAAAAAGAGCAGGAAAGAAUGCUUUAUCCAAGUUUAGAGAAACAGUUAUUGUAAUUUUGUGUCAAUUUACAUUUAACGUAAUCUUGCCAGUGUUGCAUUUUUUUUAUUUUAUUUUUUUUAAAGCAGGUUUGGUAGUUCACUCUUCAAUCCGUAUAUAGUGUGUUUAUUCUACUAACUGUUUGCUCUGGUCAUAUACAAAGCAGAAGUUUUAUACAGAUUCAACUUACCUCUGACAUGACUGGGUACCUGGUGCAUCCAACAGAUUGCUGCUCAGAUUUUCCCACUUCUUAACACUGUAACAAUUCCAUGUUAUAACUUAUUUACUCGGAUUUUAGAUCUUAUUGAUUUCUGUUGGGACCUAACUUUUUUGCCAAAUUUUUGAAAUUUAAAAAACAUAUUUACCAAAGAUUACAUACAGUUAGAUCAUGGGAAAAUAUAAUUUGACAUUUGUUAAUUUGCAUUAGCUAAAUAGUGAGAAUCUGUGAGUUAAAGGCAAACUAUAGUGCAAGGAAAACAAACUUUUUUUCCUGGCACUGUAGCUUCCCCUUCUGUCAAGGCCCCCUCCCGCAGCACUGAAGGGGUCAAUAACCACUUCAGUCACUUACCUGGGUCCAGCGCCGAUGUCCCUCUGCUCCGCUCUGCCCACGCUCCUCCCCAUGGCGGGGGAGACUAAAUGCGUGGCUAUGACCGCGCACGCAUUAGGAUCUCCCCUCGGAAAGCAUUUAAUGCUUUCCUAUAGGGGUUCUGGCGACGAUGGAAGUCCUCACGCAUAGCGUGAGGACGUCCAGCGUCGUCUAGACAAACAAAAGUUUUAUAAAAACUGAAAUAAUUACCACUGCAGGGUUAAGGGUGAUGGGAGUUGGCACCUUGACCAGUUUAAUGGGCUGAAGUGGUCUUGAUGCCUACAGUGUCCCUUUUAAUUCAUCUGAUUUGCUGUAUGUUCAGAAAUUGGGUUUGCAUGGUCAUCUCAGUUUUAUUCUUCUGAAUACCGUAAAAUUACUUUUCUGAGAAAAGGUGGUGUUUACGUUGAGCUGCAAAAACACCUCUAGAGGCUGUCACUCAGAGAGCCGAUUGUGGUUCAGCACGCUCUGCAUGAUGACACUGAAUGCUCCUCAUAGAGUUGCUUUAGUAUAAUGCUGGUUGGCACGACAUUAACACAUUGGAUUGGUUGAGAUCAUCAGGUGCCUCUUGGCUAAGGGAGAUUUUUUUCAGGCUCCCCCACCCUUCUCAGUUUCAGACCAGUCCACUAAUCAAACAGGGCAUCAUUGUGCAGUAGCAAAGUAGAGCAUCCUGACACUGGAACAAACCCUGCAUGAAUCACGCUGAUCAGACUUUCCCUCUUCUCCCCCUGUUAGUAUGUUGCAAGGUGAAGAGAUCUCCCAACUCUACAUAUUUAAAUCUGUCAGGCAUACCCAACACACUCUUCCAGCAUCCCUAGGGAUAGAAUGCAGAUUGGUUAGAUCUGAGCCACCUCCCUGCCCCCCCAAAAUGGCUAUGGAAACUAAUUAUAAGAAGCCAGUAAAUUGUGGUAAAAAAAAAUCAGAUUACCUGCUUUUUUUCAGCCUGCAGAGUGAGGCAGCUAUUUCAUUUAAAGCUAGUUUUUGAAUGAGUUCAUUGUCUCCAAGUGAUGCAUGUCCCUUUAACGUAAGAGUGUUCCUUUAUGAUGGUUCAUCAGAAAAUACAUUUAACUUUUCUGUCUUUCAGGGCAUACUGGGAGCAGCGGAUCAGCUGUUAAUUAUACCCCAUCUUUUUUAAAAAAAGAAAUGGGUUUGGCAAGUCAGAAGGUUCAUUUAGCUCCACUUACAGAUCCAGCUCCAAGUAAGUGGUUGUGUUCAUGCUUUAAAAAAAAAAAAAAGAAAAAAAGACCGUUAUAGUACUGUCAUAAUAUAGUAUUAUAUUAAAUAUAGGGUUCAAAUGUUUCACUCACCCACUAGUCAUUGCCAUGCCCCCCUCAAUGAUGUUGAAAGCAGCAGCUCUUUCCAAAGGACUUUACUAUCUAACUAGCAUAUAAAGCUUUUGUAGAGAUCUAAUAGUCAACCCUGGCACAUUUAAAAACAUGUUCUGCAUGAUUGCAUUUUUAUCUAGUCUAUUUGGUCUGAUCUGAUGUUAAAGCGGCACUGUCAUGGCCGCAUAAGUUUUUUUGGUUUAUUUUAACCCCCCUCCCCACUCCACCAAAUCGAAUUGCCCUCUAGGCCCCCCAUAUUGCUUAUUUUUAAUCUUUAUUUUGUGGCCUAACCUAGGUCCUCUGCACCUCCAUCAUUGUGUGGGCAGUUGAAGGCCCUGUGGGACAAGUCAUCUGCCCACACUAGAUAGCGCUGUAAAAUUCCCGCUGACACAAACUGAAUGUGUUUUUGUUUGUUCGUUCGCGUGCAGCUCCCUCCUUGUAAUAUGUAAAACUAAAAACCUCCCAUGUCCUCCCUCACUCCAUGCCACAGCCACAGGCUGUAUAAAAAAAAAAAAGUGGUUGAUGCAUCUAUUAACUAGCGGGGGGGACAUAGUGGGCCCCCCUCCCUCCAAGCUUCUACCCGUACCCGGCUGGAGGCUGUAUGGAGGCUCUUCAGCUAAAUGGGGGACAUAGGGUCCCCCCUUCCCCAACCCAUGAGCGGCGCGUGGGGGCCCUAAAACAUCCUAUUGUUUCCCCCUUCCCGGCACCCACCCAUGAGUGGCGGGUUGGGGGCCUUAAAAGACAAUGGGGGCUUCUUAGACACUGCCCUAGUGCUGUUGUAUGCCUGACUGUCCAAAUAUCCCAAUAAUUUCCCUCCAAUGGUCUAAUUGCCCUGGCGCAUCACACAGACGACAUCUAUUGACUCAUAUUUAUCAACUAUAUAAUGCAACUUUUUUUUUUUUAAUUAAGUCAGUACAUCAGCAAAGCGCUAGCCUCAAUGCUGAGGCAGAAACAAGCAAAAUCAAAAAUCCCAUACAUACUCCAUGACGCAGGAGGGAAAAUAAACGACCACCGAGAAAUUAACACAAUGAUUGCUAACUACUACGAAAGUCUUUAUAACCUGCGGGACGAUACACAGACACACCAACCCAAUCACACUGAAAUACAAAACUUACUUGCCAACAUAAGACUACCAACUCUCACGCAAUUGCAUAAAGAAAGUCUACAAAAACCAAUCACACUACAAGAACUGAUGCAGACAAUACACUCAUUACCAUCAGGGAAAUCAGCGGACCCAGGUGGUUUCACCAACGAAUAUUAUAAAACAUUGCAGAACACUCUAGCCCCGCACCUAGUCACAGCACUAAAUAACAUAGUACAAUUGGGAAACAUGUCACCAGAGAUGUUACUCGCGCACAUAACCACAUUACCAAAACCGGGGGAGACUCUGGAUCAGCCAAAAAAUCUAUGCCCCAUUUCCCUACUAAAUACCGACACAAAAAUUCUCGCAAAAAUAUGCUCUACUAGAGUAACGACCAUCAUACCUUCCCUGAUACACCCAGACCAAUUGGGAUUUGUGGGAGACAGGGGGCAGAUGGCACAAGAAAACUUCACAGCCUGCUUUAUGGUAAAAAGGCCCAUGAACAACCCAGAGUGUUUGUCAGUAGAUGCCAAAAGGCUUUUGACAAGUUGCACUGGAAUUUCCUCCAAACAGUCCUGCAAAAAUUUAACUUCCCACCCGCAUUUCAAGGCCUAAUCUCGGCACUCUACUCUACACCUGCCGCCCAAAUAAUGAACGGAGGCUUUGUGUCCCAACCCUUUGAAAUCACAAACGGCACCCGUCAAGGAUGCCCACAAUCCCCAAUACUCUAUAUCCUCGCCCUUGAACCACUCGCACAAUCCAUUAGGGACAACGUAAUGAUUAAAGGGGUAUGCAUAGCAGACAAAGAAUACAAAAUUACCAUGUUUGCUGAUGAUGUCAUGCUCUCGUUUACUGACCCGAUAGUUUCUAUCCCGGCUCUCCAUACCACUCUGAAACAAUAUAGUGAUUGCUCGUAUUAUAAAUUGAACACCACAAAAAUGCAGGGCAUGUGCCUACACACACCACCACACACAACAACAAUUCUGAAACAGACACACAAAUAUGAAUGGAAGGACAGCCUUACAUUCCUGGGGAUCAAUUUCACAAAACAAGAACACCGCCUGCUCAGAGACAACUACAUCAAAACCUUAAACUCUAUAAAACAACAGAUGAUGGAAUGGAAAGGGAAAUCCAUUGUCUCAUAGAUGGGAAAAAUUGCUGCAGUAAAAAUGUUAAUAUUGCCAAAACUGCAAUACUUAUUCCGCACUUUACAAAUUAAACUACCCCAAACAUUCCUCAAGAUAGCUCAGAAAGUGAUUAACACAUUUAUUUGGGCACCCAAAAAGCCAAGGACAGCGGCAAAUAUUAUGUACCUAUCAUACAAAUUGGGGGGGCACGGACCUACCACACCUCACCACGUAUUAUAGAGCGGCCGUCAUGAGCCAACUCAUAACAACGUUACACCAAUCCUCGACACCAAACUCAUGGAUAGACAUUGAGGAGACACACACAGACGGACAACACAUUACUUCUCUUGUCUGGCUACUACCACAACACAGGAAAAAACACAUACACAUGUCUCCUACAACCGCGACAACACUGAGAGAAUGGGACAGACAUCACAAAAUCCAUAAAACGAACACAACUCGGUCACCCGCAAUGCCAAUUUCUUCUUUCACAGAACUCAUACCCUUUGUGAACAUCGCCACUUGGAACACAACAGGUUUGAGACACCUAUACCAACUAUAUGACCAACAUAAACUUAUACCAUUUAACCAGCUGCAAAGGGAAUACAAACUCCCUAACUAAGCAGAAUUCGCACAUAGGCAGAUUGCCUCCUGGCUGGGAAAACACAAACAUUUACUUCCCUCAAAAGACAGGUGGAUGAACCUUACAGCCCCAGAGCAAAUGUGCCUACAGAACAAACAGCCUUCACAUCCAUUAUCUAAGAUAUACAAUCAAAACUAUCUAACAAAAUCCUUACAUGACCUUACAUUUGUCCAAGCUUGGGAAACAGAAUUGGGUAAGAAACUAACGGACGACCAAUGGGCGCACACAUUCUGCGCAAACAAAACCCUAACACUGAACACAUCCCAUUUGGAAAUAAGUAGGAAAAUACUGUACCGCUGGUACUUAGUCCUUACACAAAUGAAACAUAUUACACCGGCACAUUCAGGGAUUUGUUGGAGUUGCAACAAACACCCAAGGACAAUGCUGCACAUGUGGUGACAUGCCCAAAUCUGGGGAAAAUGUGGACAGACAUACACUGCCUAAUACAAAAGGUGACCAAGACUAACAUACCACAAGCACCUGAACACUACAUCCUCCAGUGCCUACCAACUGGCAUUAAAAAAGCUGACAGAUACUUAAUAUAUCACAUUACUUCCGCCGCACUCACAAAUAUAAGCAGAAAAUGGUUGCAAACAAAACCUCCACACAUAAGUGAAUGCAUUCAACAGAUUGAAGAUACAAAAAAAUAUGAAAUGGCGGCUAGAGCGCAUAGACUCCCACAGGCAUACUGGAGGGUGGCGUGGGAAAGGUGGAACCGGCACCAACACACGCCACAAACCCACUAAUACAGAGUAAAGGCUCCAACGAACAAUAACGAAUGGUAGUGUCACAGAAAACCACAAAUGAUGCACCAAGAUAAAUGACACAAAAUGAGAACACAUAUAAAAUGGGUAGAGGCAACAAGGGUCGACCCUCUUCCCUACCUCCUCCCCCCCAUCCCCAGUUCUUUGGGGAACAGUAUCCUGGUUCUACCUCCAAGUUCAACCCCCCAUACCAAUUCCAACCACCAUUAGGAACGUACAGUACAUUUCUAAGUUAAGACCAGAAACCAGCACAAACCGCACAACCACCAGAGCUCAUCUGGAAUAAAGAGCUGAAAGAAUUAUAAUAUGUAUGAUGUAACAAAGUAUGGUGUAACUUAAGAAUCUUUCAUCUCAAAAAUGUGAACUCAUAGCAUGUGAAUAUUGUAACGAUUACUCUAACUAAUGUACCAUGUUGGAAUGUAAAUCUGUACACAUUGUAAAACCAUAAAAAUUGCACACAAAAAAAAAAAGCCAAUGGGGGGACCUCCUAUUGUUUCCCCCUACCCAGCACCCACCCAUGAGUGGCAGAUGGUAGCCCUAAAAGACAAUAUGGGGGGGUGGGGGCAGGGCCCUAAAUGACAGUAAGUGGGGGGCCCUAUGUUCCUCCGGGCCAACACCAAACUCAAAAAAUGAAUUUUAUUCAUUAAAUUAAAAUAAGCAAAGGCAUAAAACACAGCCGAAUUAGAUCAAACCAAUACUUGAUAUUAUACACACACACACUUUUAUUUCCUAUAUAUGUAUAAUAUAUUAUAAAAUGAUUAAAGCAUUUUAUAUAUAUUAUUAGAUUAGAAGUGUAUUUUGAGAUGUGUGUAUAUAAACAGCUCACACUGUUCCCCUGCAGGCAGCUCUAUAGAUUUCUUUUGCGGCCAUGUGAGCUGCUGCAGGAGGACUGCUGGGGUCUCGGGGCAGUCCCCCCGACCGGGAUCGCUGGUCCAGGUAAGUGUAGUACUCACAUUUGCCGCAGCCGUACUAGGUAUGUCCGCGGUCCUUAACGACUGUUUGAUGUUUGUUGGUCAUACCUAGUAUGUCCACAGUCGUUAAGGGGUUAAAGAAACACUAUAGGGUCAGGAACAAAAACAUGUAUCCCUGACCCUAUAGUGUUAAAACCACCUUACAAGGGGUUAGAACUUACCUUAUUUCCAGCACCAAGCUGGUCUGCCUGCGCUGGCCCUGCCUCCUUGCUGACAUCGUCAGAAUUUAUGAUUUCAGACAAUCCAGUGUCUUCUCAUAGGUAAAGCAUUGGAUUGGCUGAAAUCGGCAAGGAGGCGGCACAGGGCUGGGCCAAACUCCAGCUUGCCCAAUGCUCCUCAUUGAAUAAAUGCAUCUCUGUGAGGAAAGUUCAGCAUCUCCAUGCAGAGAAUGGAGACGCUUAACGCACUGCACACUGUUCAGCAAUGCCCCAGGAAGCACCUCCAGUAUCCACUACAGUUGUCCGUAGGGGGCAAUGUAAACACUGCCUUUUCUGUGAAAAGGCAGUGUUUGAAUGAAAAUGCAUGCAGUCACUGUCUAUACUCACCAGAACAACUACAUUAAGCUGUAGUUGUUCUGGUGACUAUAGUGUCCCUUUUACUUCUAAAUGUCAGAGCAUUGGGUAGUGAGACAAAAACUGCUUCAUUAAGCUAAAAGUUAUUUAAAUUUGCCAAACAUCAUGGUAAUAACAGACGUUAAUCAUUCACAGGGUAAUGGCAAUAACAUGGUAAUGCAACCUCCUACAUGACUAAGGCAUCUCGAUACUUUGCUCGUAACCAGCAUUCAUUUUAGAAAAUACAAUAACAAGUAUGUCCUGUUAAUUCCUUAUUUCUAUAAAUGUUAGCUAUUCCUUCCCACUUGUGACUUUUUUUUGCACUUCACAGGUUGUUUUUAUGUCAGUUAAAUAAAAAUUUAUAAAUGCUUACACAGAAAAUACAAUUAUGCUAGUGAAUGAUUGUGGUUCUAUCUAGCUCCUUACCGACCAUUAUUUUUCUAGAUUAUGGAUCUCUGAAAUCUGUUGGAGCAUACUUGGGACAGACUUCAUUCACCUCUCCUUCCAAAACUGCCACAGGCCUGUCACCCAGGCCCCCACCUCCCAUUCAGCCGAUUCAUGGGAGAACAGACUGGAUUUCCAAAUAUGGGGGCCGGAGAUAAGGGGCCUUGAUGGCGUUUAUAUUUUGCACUCAACACCUGCUUUGGAUUGGUAAUCUGACAUGGAAGGAACUACCUUCAUAUCCCUGUCCUUUUAAGCUGGAGGACGACAAGCAACUGGCUGAAAUUUCAACAUUUUCUUACAAAACUUAUUUUGUCACCAAAUGAAGGUCUUAGGUCUUUAUUUUAGAUUGAUGCCAUUUAUUACUACUGUAUUUUGGUAACAAUUUAUACUAAGUUAGAAUACUAACCAAGCAGGACAUUCACUAACUGGAGAGAAAGCUAAUGCAUGAUCAUUUUAUGGAAGCUUAUAUUUGCACUCUCCAAGGACCACAAGAGUCAGCUGAAUAGCUGGAGAGACCAUUACAAUGCUCUCAUAAGGAAGCCUUUAUCUUUGCUUUUUGAAUCUUUCCCAGAAUAGCUGCAUUGCUUAUUAACUGAUUUUUGUUAUUGUUUGUUUUUUAGCAUAUCUGCAAUGCAUUGCUGAGCAAUACUUUGCAGUACUUUUCUUUACUGAAAAGGUUAAUAUUUUAUGGUCCUCUGAAUUCAAUGGGAUAAUAACCAAAUGUCCCGACAGGCAGUAAGUAAUAAACUAUAUUUUAUAAGACUCCUAUGCCUUGUCUUAAAGGGUCUCUGUCACACCUAACACAUCAGUCUUUUUUGCUAUGUGUAAAUAAUUUAAUCUAUAAGUAAUACUUGCCAAAUGGAUAACACAUAUAGUAAACUAUAAUUGGCCCUAUGCUAGUCACAAGAGAUUGCUGAAAAGAACUCCAUUGGAUGCCUGCUCAUCACCUGGCAUCUGCUUACAUGUGUCCCAGAAAACUUAGCUUUCUGAUGGAUCAGAUAGAAUGCUGAGAGAGACUUGUGCAUGUAUCAUCCCCUAUCUCUGUGACAAGAUGUAAUGUAAAUAGAUUUGCAAAUUUAGUUAUAAAAAAAAUGCACACUUGGUAUCCAUUCAGCAAGUAAUAUCUAUAGAUAAAAUAGCUUCCAGGUUAAAAUACAGUUACACAUGACAGAGUCCCUUUUGUGUAUUUUUUUCUAUUUGAAAGAGGUGUUUCAUUUUUUGUUUACGUUUUAGAACCUAGUACAACGCAAUAUAACCUCAAGUGCUUUAUGUAAUUGUGGCAUUUAAAACUGCAUUUUGCACAUUCUCCACAAUCACAGCCGACUGACAAAAAUGUGUCAAAAAUAGCAGCAGGAACUGACUAGGAUAGUUUUCAUAAACUGCUGUUAUGGCCUAAAUUUUACAAAUCAGACUGUUAUGAUGACUUGAUAAUGGUUAAGUGAAUUGAACCAAAGGUGUGGAUUAUAUGUACCCACAAAGCCCAGCAUGUAGAUAAAAAAACUUAAAAUAAGUGAAAUGGUACUUGACCAGUUUAAUUGAUCAAUAUAUAAUAUUAUCUAUAUAUGCAAUGUACAGAAGUGCGUUUGUUCAAAUACUUUCUGGACUACAGACGAUCCUUUUAUCCACUGCAGUACAGGUUUGUGAUAUUUAGGUUUGUACUGCAUUAUAUAGUUCAUGCAGUACAGGCUUGUGAUAUUGUGCCCUUAAUUACAGUGUGUGGUUAGUGGUUUUAGAAAGCAUUACAUGCAAAAAGCAAAUUAUCACUGGGUAUGCCAAGAGCAACUCUGCUGUUGUUGGUCUGCAAUUUUGCUUAUGCCCAGCCACUUCAAAGGAGAUGGCUGAGUAUAUUAAGACUUGUGUUUGAUAGCUGAAAGGUUGCUGCUCCCUAUCACCGGUACUAGUACAGGCAAAAUGUAACUGAUAGUCUUACUAAUGUUGUGUACAACAGCAUUAUGUUAAAGGGAUAAUAUUGGCAACAGAACCACUUCUGCUUAAUACAGUGGUUAUGGGGCGAAUAGUCUGUCUGGGUUUACACUGCUGCAUAAACCCACCUCUGGUGUUUGUCACUCAGUCAUUAGAGGGACAUCUUUGGUUCAGUCCUGCAAAAAUUACAGACCCGCAGUUCAACGUCUCUAUGCUCUGAACUCUCCAUGUACAGAUGCAUUAACAUGAUGCUUCUCUAUCAGAAGAUGCUGAUCGGUCGCAGUGUGGCGAUUGCCACACAUGCACACUUGCCUACAAAUGCUUCUCUAUGGGUUCAUCAGGAUUGAUCUAAGCAAGCUGGGUAGGGGGCAGGAGGUGUGGGGGGGAGAGGGUAGAAGGAUAACUGCACAGAGACCUGUGUGCUGGGGCAAUAAAGAUAAGUAAAAUGUUUUGGGGAGGAGGAUGGAGGUUAAUUGCCUAAGACUUGUCCUAUUGUUAGAAAAUAUCUUAAGCCAAAUUUGACCUAUCUUUGCAUAUUGCAAUAAGUAUUGUGUGGUUUUGGAUAGUAUCUAAAACGAGUUUUAAUCUAUUUAUAAAUGUGAGGCUUAAGAUUGAAGUUGUACUUUCACCUGAAGAAAAAAACAUGUAUGUGUCAGGUGCCAUAAAAUAGUAUGAAUAUGACAACAUUGGGGGCAUUACCUGCUGCCUUUGGAAAAUACAGGUUGGAGCCAGCAGUGGUAAAUACACACGGUUACUCUAUUUAAUUUAUCCUUGACAGACACUAUAUAUUUCAGGUGUGCCAAUAUAUGUAAAGAAGAUUUUUUUUAUUUUUUUUUUAAUAAUAGUUCUUUAAAAUACUUGUGUUAAAUGUAUCAAUAGUAUUUUGAAUGUUAUUUUUUUGUAUUUUUAUAAACCUUAAUUAUACCCAUGCAAAACUAUUCUAGUGAAUAAUAAAUACGGUUAAACGACUGAUCCAUUUUUUUAUUUUUGAUUCUUUAUUGUUGCACUGAUAGACAUGCAAAGUAUGACAUAGCAAGCUUAUGCAAAAACUAAAACACAGUAGUGGUAUCUUGUGGGUUACAGAAAGGAAAGUUGUGUCGUUGAUGUAAAGAUCAUCUUACAUACAUUGAUCAACAGUUGUUGACUAAUCCAUUUUUAUCUCCAUAAAGUGUUAUGUAUAC